rnacentral:misc_RNA from 1 species
GAAAUGCGAUAAGUAGUGUGAAUUGCAGAAUUCAGUGAAUCAUCGAAUCUUUGAACGCACAUUGCGCCUCCCGGCAUUCCGGGAGGCAUGCCUGUCCGAACGUCAUCAAACCCCUCGCUAGGAGCCGUUGCCCGCAACGGAACCACGGCGGCUGCUGGGGGAUGGCGGCCCUCCUCGGGCCGCCACCCCCGAAACCCACUGGCGGACCCAUCUGGGCUGUGAUUGUGAUAAGCUCUUGUAGCGGUUGCAAGCCCCAGGUGCGUUGCCCAGCCCCAAGAAGCGCCGGAGGCGCCAUCCACAGCGCCCCGGGGCGGACUACAAAAUCCAAUGACUUCGGAUCAGGUAGGGAUACCCGCUGAACUUAA